rnacentral:rRNA from 1 species
GAUGAACGCUGGCGGCGUGCCUAAUACAUGCAAGUCGAGCGAACAGACGAGGAGCUUGCUCCUCUGACGUUAGCGGCGGACGGGUGAGUAACACGUGGAUAACCUACCUAUAAGACUGGGAUAACUUCGGGAAACCGGAGCUAAUACCGGAUAAUAUAUUGAACCGCAUGGUUCAAUAGUGAAAGACGGUUUUGCUGUCACUUAUAGAUGGAUCCGCGCCGCAUUAGCUAGUUGGUAAGGUAACGGCUUACCAAGGCGACGAUGCGUAGCCGACCUGAGAGGGGGGCGGGCCACCGUGGAAGGGGACCACGGCCCAGCCCCCAACGGAAGGAGCAAGUGGGAAAUCUCCCGCAAGGGGGAAAAGCCAGAGGGAGAAACGCGGCGUGAGUAAUGAGGGUCUCGGUUUGAAAAAACUGUUUUAUGAGGAAAAAAAAAAUUUGAAAGUAACUGUGCACUUCUUGAGGGAACCUAAUAAAAAACCCCCGACAAACUAGGUG